rnacentral:lncRNA from 1 species
CUUUGGGAAUUUCUUAAUAAUAUAAACACAUUCCAAAACAUUCUUUCUUUUGGUUCUAUUUAGUAAUAGUAAUGUAAAAAGUCUAUAUACUCAUUUAUUUCCACACAUAUAUUUAGUAAGAUUCUCUGCCUAAAGCUCUUUAAGAGGUCUUUGAAAUCCCUUUUUUAGAGAAUAAGUAAGUUUUUUCUAUUUGAUGUUUUAUCUGAUUUGUGAAAAAGUGGUGAAAUCUUGUGUCUCUGUUGAUUAGCUCUGUUUCCUAUAUGAAAUCUGAGAAAUGUGAACAUUUUUGGGCUGAUUCUUAUGAUUCAGAACUAGAGGCCAGGGAAAUGCAGGUCUUGAU